GGCUCAGUAGUGAGGAACAUGCUUAAGGAGGAGGGCUUUGGUGCCUUUUACAAGCAUGGUCUAUAUGUACUACUGUUGGAGAUAUGGCUCACAAACCUGCAUACUUUGUGCCUGAUUCGAUGUCAG